UACGGAGGGGGCUAGCGUUGUCCGGAAUUAUUGGGCGUAAAGCGCGCGCAGGCGGUCCUUUAAGUCUGAUGUGAAAGCCCUCGGCUCAACCGAGGAGGGUCAUUGGAAACUGGAGGACUUGAGUGCAGAAGAGGAAAGCGGAAUUCCAAGUGUAGCGGUGAAAUGCGUAGAGAUUUGGAGGAACACCAGUGGCGAAGGCGGCUUUCUGGUCUGUAACUGACGCUGAGGCGCGAAAGUGUGGGUAGCAAACAGG
rnacentral:rRNA from 1 species